GCCCGCAGGAUAGCUCAGCCAGUCGAGCAUGAGACUCUUAAUCUCAGGGUUGCUGGUUUGAGCCCCACGCUGGGCA